rnacentral:other from 1 species
AGUUCCCUGCACUGUUUGCCAGUUGGACACGUCCUCGAGCCGAUAAAUUCAUACCAGGUGGCUUUUUGCAGACAAUGUGAGCAUGUCCUUUUCGGAGGAAAGCCUAAUUUGUUGCAGUUGUCACCGCCUUGAGCCUCAGGGUUCAAGGUCUUGUCCGGCAGCGGCAAGUGUGGGGAGCUU